UCCUACGGGGGGCAGCAGUGAGGAAUAUUGGUCAAUGGGCUUACGCCUGAACCAGCCAAGUCGCGUGAGGGAAGACUGCCCUAUGGGUUGUAAACCUCUUUUGUCAGGGAGCAGCGCCGGCUACGUGUAGCCGGACUGAGAGUACCUGAAGAAAAAGCAUCGGCUAACUCCGUGCCAGCAGCCGCGGUAAUACGGAGGAUGCGAGCGUUAUCCGGAUUUAUUGGGUUUAAAGGGUGCGUAGGCGGAAUGCCAAGUCAGCGGUAAAAUCGCGGGGCUCAACCUCGCUCCGCCGUUGAAACUGGCGU
rnacentral:rRNA from 1 species